rnacentral:rRNA from 1 species
AUACGGAGGGGGCAAGCGUUGUUCGGAUUUACUGGGCGUAAAGCGCACGUAGGCGGAUUGAUGAGUUAGGGGUGAAAUCCCGAGGCUCAACCUCGGAACUGCCUUUAAUACUGUCAGUCUAGAGACCGGAAGAGGUGAGUGGAACUCCUAGUGUAGAGGUGGAAUUCGUAGAUAUUAGGAAGAACACCAGUGGCGAAGGCGGCUCACUGGUCCGGUACUGACGCUGAGGUGCGAAAGCGUGGGGAGCGAACAGGAUUAGAAACCCUAGUAGUCC